AUUGAACGCUGGCGUCAGGCCUAACACAUGCAAGUCGAACGAGUGGCGGACGGUUGAGUAAUGUCUGGGAAACUGCCCGAUGGAGGGGGAUAACUACUGGAAACGGUAGCUAAUACCGCAUACCAUCGGAUUUGCCCAUCUGGGAGUUGCUUGUAGGUGGGGUAACGGCUACCCUAGGCGACGAUCCCUAGCUUGUCUGCAAGGAUGACCAGCCACACUGGAACUGAGACACUGUCCAGACUCCUACGGGAGGCAGCAGUGGGGAAUAUUGCACAAUGGGCGCAAGCCUGAUGCAGCCAUGCCGCGUGUAUGAAGAAGGCCUUCGGGUUGUAAAGUACUUUCAGCGGGGAGGCGUUAACCGAAGAAGAAGCACCGGCUAACUCCGUGCCAGCAGCCGCGGUAAUAG
rnacentral:rRNA from 1 species